rnacentral:rRNA from 1 species
AGAGCGAACGCUGGCGGCAGGCUUAACACAUGCAAGUCGAGCGGGCAUCUUCGGAUGUCAGCGGCAGACGGGUGAGUAACACGUGGGAACGUACCUUUCGGUUCGGAAUAACGCUGGGAAACUAGCGCUAAUACCGGAUACGCCCUUAUGGGGAAAGGCUUGUCUGCCGAAAGAUCGGCCCGCGUCUGAUUAGCUAGUUGGUGGGGUAACGGCCUACCAAGGCGACGAUCAGUAGCUGGUCUGAGAGGAUGAUCAGCCACAUUGGGACUGAGACACGGCCCAAACUCCUACGGGAGGCAGCAGUGGGGAAUAUUGGACAAUGGGCGCAAGCCUGAUCCAGCCAUGCCGCGUGAGUGAUGAAGGCCUUAGGGUUGUAAAGCUCUUUUGUCCGGGACGAUAAUGACGGUACCGGAAGAAUAAGCCCCGGCUAACUUCGCGCCAGCAGCCGC